CAGAUGGCAUUAGAAGUGGAACCCAAAGUAGAGCCUCUUGCAACCCCCAGAAGCACCAAGAGACCAAGAAAAAUACCUACCAGGCCCAUUGUGUUCAUUGCUCUCUUGCAGAAACUGGUGAUUGUGGCUUUCUGUAGAAUAUCAAAUGGUCUCACUUCAGCUGGAAUGACAAAAUCUCAAAGAAAUGCAUGACUAUGAGGACAUCGUCACCUAUGAAUGACAUACUGAGACCAGAAACUCAAAAUGAUGGUAACUGAAAGUAGUGCCAAAACCUAGUUUUGGUCACACUCUCACCUAAGUGAGAUUCAGACCAAAAAGGUGGAGAACUGGCCAGAUGCGGUG
rnacentral:lncRNA from 10 species